rnacentral:rRNA from 1 species
AGGACGAACGCUGGCGGCGCGCUUAACACAUGCAAGUCGAGCGAGAACCAAGACCUUCGGGUCUUGGGGACAGCGGCGAACGGGUGAGUAACACGUGAGUAAUCCACCCUUGGUACCGGGAUAGCUCGGGGAAACCCGAAUUAAUACCGGAUAGCCCAUUGGCCUCUUGGGGCGAAUGGAAAAGGUAGCUUCGGCCUCCGACCAAGGACGAGCUCGCGGCGGAUUAGCUUGUUGGUGGGGUAAUGGCCCACCAAGGCGACGAUCCGUAGCUGGUCUGAGAGGACGAUCAGCCACACUGGGACUGAGACACGGCCCAGACUCCUACGGAGGCAGCAGUGGGGAAUCUUGCGCAAUGGGCGAAAGCCUGACGCAGCGACGCCGCGUGAGGGAAGAAGGCCUUCGGGUUGUAAACCUCUUUCAGAAGGGACGAAGCCACUCGGGUAAUAGCCAGAGGUGACGGUACCUUCAGAAGAAGCCCGGCUAACUACGUGCCAGCAGCCGCGGU